GAUGAACGCUAGCGGCAGGCUUAACACAUGCAAGUCGAGGGGCAGCGGGAUGUAGCAAUACAUUGCCGGCGACCGGCGCAAGGGUGCGUAACGCGUGAGCAACAUGCCCGUCACAGGAGGAUAAACCAUGGAAACGUGGCCUAAUACUCCAUAGUAUGUUUUGGAGGCAUCUCUGAGACAUUAAAGCUUCGGUGGUGACGGAUUGGCUCGCGUGACAUUAGCUAGAUGGAGAGGUAACGGCUCACCAUGGCGACGAUGUCUAGGGGAACCGAGAGGUUAAUCCCCCANACUGGUACUGAGACACGGACCAGACUCCUACGGGAGGCAGCAGUGAGGAAUAUUGGACAAUGGAUGGAAAUCUGAUCCAGCCAUGCCGCGUGCAGGAUGACGGCCCUA
rnacentral:rRNA from 1 species